rnacentral:rRNA from 1 species
CAUGCAAGUCGAGGGGAAACGACAUCGAAAGCUUGCUUUUGAUGGGCGUCGACCGGCGCACGGGUGAGUAACGCGUAUCCAACCUGCCCACCACUUGGGGAUAACCUUGCGAAAGUAAGACUAAUACCCAAUGACGUCUCUAGAAGACAUCUGAAGGAGAUUAAAGAUUUAUCGGUGAUGGAUGGGGAUGCGUCUGAUUAGCUUGUUGGCGGGGUAACGGCCCACCAAGGCGACGAUCAGUAGGGGUUCUGAGAGGAAGGUCCCCCACAUUGGAACCGAGACACGGUCCAAACUCCUACGGGAGGCAGCAGUGAGGAAUAUUGGUCAAUGGACGAGAGUCUGAACCAGCCAAGUAGCGUGCAGGAUGACGGCCCUAUGGGUUGUAAACUGCUUUUAUAAGGGAAUAAAGUGAGUCUCGUGAGACUUUUUGCAUGUACCUUAUGAAUAAGGACCGGCUAAUUCCGUGCCAGCAGCCGCGGUAAUACGGAAGGUCCGGGCGUUAUCCGGAUUUAUUGGGUUUAAAGGGAGCGUAGGCCGGAGAUUAAGCGUGUCGUGAAAUGUAGAUGCUCAACAUCUGCACUGCAGCGCGAACUGGUUUCCUUGAGUACGCACAAAGUGGGCGGAAUUCGUGGUGUAGCGGUGAAAUGCUUAGAUAUCACGAAGAACUCCGAUUGCGAAGGCAGCUCACUGGAGCGCAACUGACGCUGAAGCUCGAAAGUGCGGGUAUCGAACAGGAUUAGAUACCCUGGUAGUCCGCACGGUAAACGAUGGAUGCCCGCUGUUGGUCUGAAUAGGUCAGCGGCCAAGCGAAAGCAUUAAGCAUCCCACCUGGGGAGUACGCCGGCAACGGUGAAACUCAAAGGAAUUGACGGGGGCCCGCACAAGCGGAGGAACAUGUGGUUUAAUUCG